rnacentral:rRNA from 1 species
ACGCACGCUGGCGGCGUGCUUCACCCAUGCCAGUCGCACGGAAAGGCCCUGCUUUUGUGGGGUGCUCGAGUGGCGAACGGGUGAGUAACACGUGAGUAACCUGCCCUUGACUUUGGGAUAACUUCAGGAAACUGGGGCUAAUACCGGAUAGGAGCUCCUGCUGCCUGGUGGGGGUUGGAAAGUUUCGGCGGUUGGGGAUGGACUCGCGGCUUAUCAGCUUGUUGGUGGGGUAGUGGCUUACCAAGGCUUUGACGGGUAGCCGGCCUGAGAGGGUGACCGGCCACAUUGGGACUGAGAUACGGCCCAGACUCCUACGGGAGGCAGCAGUGGGGAAUAUUGCACAAUGGGCGGAAGCCUGAUGCAGCAACGCCGCGUGCGGGAUGACGGCCUUCGGGUUGUAAACCGCUUUCGCCUGUGACGAAGCGUGAGUGACGGUAAUGGGUAAAGAAGCACCGGCUAACUACGUG